AAAAAAAGAGCACUUGGUGCACAUCUGCCCUUUUAGAAGGCCAAUCACAGGAUGGGAAGCCCCUGAGGGUGCAGGAAGUGACUCUUCAUUAGCCCCACCCUUAGGUGUCUGAUAUUAAUAAUUGACUACCCUCCUGUCUAAUUACAGUGGCCUACAGCUUGCACAAUUGGUUAUUUAUUUGGUAGUGUCCCCAGGGCUCUCCCUCUGGUCCAUCCAACUUGAAUUUAUUGAGCACCUACUAUAUCUGGAGGGCUGGGUCGGCCCUGGAGUAGGUACCAAAGGCUGGAGUCCUCUUUAUAGGGAUUGGAGGGUCACAGAAAAGCUGUCUACAGGCCUGGACAUUUCAGUAAAACAAAGCCCUGGCAAUGUCUGCACAGCAGGAGGCUGGGUCCUUGGCCUCAGCACCCCUCGCCCGCUGCGGCCCUUGUGCCUGUAGUGUCACCCACAUGGACGCUGCAGACUAAAGUUCAGCUGUUCAGCUUUAACUCAGAGGGCAGGUUAAAUGUUCAGUGGAGGCCCAGCCUCAGCCCGCCUAGAUGAAAGGGCACACACCACUUAUCACUUAUCUUGGUUCAGGAAAGGGACCAUCAAGCCACCAAGUGCAAGGUGGGAGCAGUUACGCUGAACCACCUUGCUAGGGUGGGCCACAGAACCGGGAUGGGCAUUCCCUUUUCUUUGCUGUCAUGCCAUUCAUCAGUUAGGAUCAACUUUCCUGAAGCCUACAAAAUUAACUUCAUUCUCACGGCAACCUGGAUGGGCAGGAACUAUUAGGCCCAUUUUAUAGCUGAGGACACACGACAAAAAGAAGUCGAACCAGUGUGAAGACAGUAAAAGCGGGGUGGGGGGGGCAAGCAAAGCUGUGAUCUCUUCCUUAAUUGCAGUUUUCUCACUUCAUUGUGAGCUCCCUGCCCAGGCCCAUUUGGAGUUGGGGAGCUAGGGGAGGCCUGAGCUCGGGACCUGCCUCAAGAACCAGAAGAAUGGCCACUUGCUUGUUAACGAACAGAGCCGUGGCUCUGCCUCCUCCACUCCUCCCCACCGUCCCUCUGCUCUGGCUCGGAGAGCCGGGGGCUGGGCCUCCAUAAUUGCAGAGCAGCCGGCACAGGGCGGGGAAGAGUCUGACGUUUCCAAAGGCCUUUCUGAUGUUGAUUAUGGCGAUGACGAGGAUGUCCUUCUCCUACCAAGACUAGAGGUUUUCUUUGUCCUCUCUCCACUGGGGUCUCAUCUCUGCCCUGAGGUCUGGUGAGGAGAGAACGGGCAUGGGCUCCACUUCCGGAGAGGAAGGGAACAGACUUGGCCAGAGUGAAAGGCGGAGUCAGCCUACCCUUUACCUUCUCAGCGCUGGGCACAGGGGUAGGCUGAUGUAAUCAUUAGCAUAACAUUUGCAUAAGGAACAAUUGAGGAGAUUGGAGUCGGCCUCCAGGAAACACCUGCAAGGAACAGUGAAUGAAAGCCUCUCCACCCCCACCGAGAUCCUUCCGCCCCCACCCCAGGAGCCAGCGGAAGUGGCGGGAACCCAGCGCGACUAUUGAUGAUGGCGACCAGUUGUAAGCGGAGUGCCUACUAAGUGCCUGCCGAGCACCGAUGUGGAUGUUCUGUUUCUCUUGCUCUUCACACACAACAACCCUAGGGCUGGGAGGCAGGCAGCUUCGGAGAGAUAUAUUUUCAUCCAAAUGAGGCCAAAGGAGAGACCUGUGAAUAUCCGUCUUCAUGCAAGGAAGAUAAAUGAGAUUGAAGUUGCAGGGCCAAUGUGACUUGUCCAAAGCUUCACAACUGGUAAAUAUCAGCCAGAACUUGAACCCAGGCCAGUUCUGACUUCCAGUCCAGUACUCUUGAGAAAUUGGAGAAAGAAGAAGACAUGGCAUCCUUAAGCCAAGCCUCAGAAACAAACCGGUUUCUGCCAGUCCACCCCCUUCCCCUUGACUACAUUGUGCAGCUGGCAUGGUGCAGAGAUGCAUCUGAAGCUGUGAUCCCCAAGACAAACCCAACCGGGAGAGCUGCAGCCUGGACAGUCUAACCCUACAGGUCUGGGCAGCAGGAGGAAGGGAGCUGGUGUGCUUCAGGGAGCCUGGAGGGAGAAGGAAGAGACUUGUGAAGAAUGCAAACAAGAAGCUGAGCUGGAAAUGGCUGAUUUUGUUAGUGCUGCUCUACAUUUACUCAAGCUUGAGAGUGAAUGCCACCAUGGUCGCAGCCACAGUAUAGCCAGAUUCCGAAGCUCGGCCGUCUCACCAGCUUGAGACUGCACCUUGGAGCCUGGCAGCUGCCUUGGAGUGAGGGGCAGCUAGAUCCUACUCCCCCAGGCAGGAGCUCAGCCCCUCAAAUGAGGCUGGUCCAACCUGCUCUGCAUCUUCUUCUGUUUGACCCCUGGUACAAGCAUGCCUGCUGAAUCUACACCUGGACCUACAGACCUGUAGGGUCUUGUCUGGGCCUGGAUGUUCCCACGAGGCCAUGCAUCAGUCACACACAGAGUUUUACUGCCCAAGGGGACUUUUGAGAUCUCAACAUUAUCCACUCCAAUUCUCAUUUCAUUCACAAGGGAAUGGAGGCCUAGGUGGGGGAGGGGUGGGAAUCACACAGACUAAGUGAUAAAUCCUGACCAAAGUCCCCCUAAUCUUUCCCCUGCUGUCUGCUGUGCUUUGCAGCCCUCACACUGCAUGUAGCUGUGACCCCCAUCAACCCCAUCAGCGCUUAGUGGCACACCCUAACAUUGCACUCACCAUCCGUGGCAGGUACUAUUGUGACUCCCAUUUUAUACAUGCAGAGGCUGAGGCUAGGAGAGAUUAAAAAACUUUACCUAAGCUAGUAAGUGGUGGAGGUGGAAUUUGAUUUUAUUUUUUUCUUUUCUUUUCUCUUUUUGCAGUGCUGGGCAUGGAACCCAGGGCUUCAUGCAUGCUAGGCAAGGCCUUUACCACUAAGUUACACCCUGGAGCUGGAACUUGAACCCAGACUAUCUGGCUCCAUCAUUGACUGUUUGCUAUGCUACCUGUCUUGUCCGGAAGCUUCCUCUGCACCUUCCCUUUCCCCUUUUCAUAAUCACUGUUACCAUCACCACCACCUUCACAACUCAUCAUUCCCUCAUUUCUCCAUUCAGUCACAUCCAGAUGCUGCUCCAGACACGAGG